CCCAUUUACAAACUGACACAAUCGCAUCAUAAGCAUUCAUAUCACAAGGAAAUCAUUGCUCCAUAUGACAUAAAAACCAUUAAAUGAAAAUGUGUAGAACAUACAUGGUAAAUUAAUUUGGUUACAUCUAUAGCAAAUGGCCUGCCGACAAACAACCUUGGGCGAAGUGUACAGAAUUUUCACAUAAAUCUAGCUAGUUAUCGAAAUCUUCAUCAAACCUGACAGAGAGAAAGGAGAUGGCAGAUCAAGAUGAGUGAGGUAAUUGCCCCCUGAAUCUGGUACAUGAACAAAAUGAAUGGGUAGGAAGCAAGAGUCCGUGGAUUGGGGAUUAAUAAACGCAUCAUUAGGCUAGAAUAUUGAGCAACUGGUAAGGGAGGAAGAUGUACCUUGUACCCGUAGAUGGAUAUUGGCGGCCAUGGCGAGGCUCCAGAUUUUUGCUGCACGACAAAAAGAGACAAAGAGGGGCGGAACCCUAGACCAGCAACGAAUCAGAUCAAAUCAGGCCGGCCUACCCUGUGCAUGGUUGGAGGGAGGCGGGAUGGACGACACUUACGUGUAAAGCUGAACUGCAGCUCCAGCUUCCGCUCGAGGAUGUUGAUGAGCUUGUAGAUGAUGCCCUUCUGUUUGAAGCUCCACCCAUCCUUCAGAUCAAUUGCCUUGCGCUCCUUCCCC
rnacentral:lncRNA from 1 species